GUUCUACGUCCGCGCGAUUAUAUUAUAUCCUUCCUCUCUUUCUCUUCCUCGUAAAAGGAAAAUUAUCUUUUUGUUUCUCUCUUUCCUUCUCUCUUUCCAGAUAUUGUACAACAAUAUAGAUAUAAGAAUGAUGAAAUAUAUGUAUCGCUUUCGUUUGUCCCAAGAAAAAUGAUCAAUUUCGCUCGAUAUUAGGAAAGGGAAAAAUUCACUCUUCGAUACGAAUACGAUGCGCAGAAGAAUUGCGCGAACGUGCGCAACGUAAUUUUAAUCUCCUUUGCUCUCUCGUUAUAUCGAAAUUACACACUGGUAUAUUCGGUGGGAUGGAAAGCAGCGAGGAGUAUCGAGUUUGCAAAUUGCUGUUACGAUGUUAUCGAUAUUAUCCGUAAUCUUUAAUCCCUAUUCGGCGGAAUAUUCGAUCGGGCGUUAUCUCUUGCGCGUCAUCGCGGAUUAGGAAAUGUACACGUUACACGUUGUUACGUAACUUCGCAAAGAAGAUUGCGGGACGAGUGUAACACGGAGACGCGUCGCGCGCGAGUGUGUGUGUGUAUGCGUGUGUAUGCGUUCACACAAUUCGAUCGAUGUAUUUUGUUUACGUUAUUAUAUUUGUGACAGAUUAUUUUUUUUUUCACUUUAAGAUGUUUUAUAUUAUUCUAAAAUUAAUUAUUUGGAUUAUCUUCUGUUAUUUGAUUCAUUUUUAAUUCCCGUGAAAUGUUUAAGGGCUGAUUAUUUUUCGUUCGAGACGAAAAAUUCGAAAUCUGUUGUAAAAUUAAUCGAUAAAUUGAUACAUAUCUGAAACUUUAUUCAAAUAUUUAUAAUAAUUUUUUCUUUUCUAUUUCUCCACGUACCGACGUAUAAUUUAUCAUUUUUAUCCGUCGCGAGUGCAACGGAUCCCCUGCUGAAACUCGUUUCUCUAACAUUUCCAUAUUUUCACAAUCCAUAUGCAAUAAUCGUCCAGAAGAACGAUUACAACUUGGAGAGAGAAAGAGAGAGAGAGAAGAAAAGAGUAUGAAAAAUACAAGAAGACGCAAUCGUCGUCCAUUGCACAUUUGCAACCCGUGCCAUUUACCUUUCAACAACAUUCGAGAACCCUGCUCGUUUUUAACACCGCAACAUCAUCUCCAAUAAUUAAUUAUUAUCGUCAAGCGAGUUACGCGUCGUCCUCGAGAACGAUCCCCGUCUAAAUUUUCUUCUCUCGAUUAGACGUUCCCUUUGAACAAUCCCGUUCCAAAUUAAAAACCUUUCCAUCUCUCGCUUUUCCCCUAUUUCUAAUUCUUCCUCCUGUAAAACGUCGCACGACACGUUCCAAAGAUAGGAGUGAAAAUUAUUUCUUCUUAUAUUUAUUUAUCGUUUCGUUGAGAAAAUUGUGUACAGAAUAUAAUUGAAUUUUUACUGUAUUUGCACUGUGCAUCGUUAUCGCGAAAGGAAGCUCGAUUUGGCAGCUCGAAAGAAAGAAAGGUUAGGUUAACCGCUUUCGAGGACUCUCCGAUAUAGAAUUGUCUUGCGCAAUGGCGUUUUAUAAGUCGGUUCUCAACUCGGUUGGUAAAGAAGAAAGUCGGAAUGGAGCAGCACCCCUCCUUUUUCGAGUUUUCUACCUUGCGCAGAGGAAUUGCGCAGAAACUCGCGAAGAAACGUGGUUUGGAUUCGUGGCACGCCUUCGCCACGCGAAACAGGGCCGAUUAUCUUCCAUCUCCUUGCCUGAUCGGCAGGAUUCGUGCCUUUUACCGGUUUAUAUUGAAUUAUUGUCACGAAAUUUCCAACGAAACUCAUCCGUCAUACAUAACCUAAAAACGAGAGGGAAGCGAACCUUUAAUAACCCGAUAACGAACAGCGAUAUCAUCGCCCCACGUGUUGUUUAGUGAAAUGGUAUUCCGUGAAAAGUGUAUGGUAUUAAUCUCGAUUUAUAACCGCGAAAGAAUGUUUCUCCCUCCUCGAGAUUCCCCAUUGUUUGCCGCGUACGUAUAAUCACGUGACAAGAGACAAACCGUCGAGCGUGAUUUCAUUCAUUGUUUCAUUGUUGAAACUAUCGAAAAUAAUAAUAAUAAUAAUAAUAAUAAUUUUCGAAAGAAAA